rnacentral:lncRNA from 1 species
UUAAAAAAUCUGCUUUUAUGCAGAUCUCUUGGAAGUAAAUGAUGCCCCUUAGGCUUCAAUAAAAAAAUAAAAUUACAAACAACAGAUCAUGCAUAUUAUAUAAUCAAAAUAGAUUUAUCUUAGCUUUAUGAACAAAAGAUGUCUUUCCACAUAUGACAUUUAAACAUACACGCAAAAUAUGCCUGAUAUGAAUAUGUAUUUUUGUUCAUAUAACCUAUUCUAUAUGUUCAAAUCUG